UACAGAGGUCCCAAGCGUUGUUCGGAUUCACUGGGCGUAAAGGGUGCGUAGGCGGUCGGGUAAGUCUGACGUGAAAUCUUCAAGCUUAACUUGGAAACUGCGUCGGAUACUAUUCGGCUAGAGGAAUGGAGGGGAGACUGGAAUUCAUGGUGUAGCAGUGAAAUGCGUAGAGAUCAUGAGGAAGACCAGUGGCGAAGGCGGGUCUCUGGACAGUUCCUGACACUGAGGCACGAAGGCCAGGGGAGCAAACGGG
rnacentral:rRNA from 1 species